GGUGGGGGCCCGGCCUCGCGGGGGCGCCUGCAGGCCGUCACCCGGCCGCACCCCUCCGCUGCGUCCCUGAGGGACCCCAAGCUGCUGUCAGACUCGCAGGCGGAUGUGCGACGGACGCUAGGAUCCGGCCGGGGGACCACGGCGAAGGCGGCGGCGAGCACUUCGGCCUGGAAAACAAGUUGCCCUUCCUUCGCGCGGGGGCACCGCGCCGCCCCCGAGGCCGCCGCAGCCUGGUCAGGUGGCCUCGCGGGGAGCACCUCAGGGCGGCGGGCCCGGGCGCCGCGUCCCACGGUGUGAGGCGGAGGCUUCGGCGCACGCGCACGCGCCGCCCCCGCAACCUGAGGCCAGGCUUCCGUUACGAAGGAACGCUCCCAGCAGGACGGCCCCCGUGACGACGACGGUGACACGUCCCUGGGCCCUCCGACAGCUCCGGCAGCCGCGGCCGCCCCGAGUCGCUAAGAAUUGCACGUGUUCCCUGGCAAGGUUAAGGGAAACCCUCAAACGACCAAGCAGUGAGGGAGGCGAGGUGUUCAGGACCCGAGCCCCGGAUGCUAAAUAAGGACUGAGGUAAAACUAAGGGGGACCGCAUGGCCUGGUGACCCCGCCGCCCCCGAGGCCCUGCCGGGCUCGGUGGGUGCCGUGACAUCAGCUGCCAGACGUUGCGGUCUUAACUGGAAAGAGAAGGCCCGAUUCCCGCUGAUGACCCCAAGGGGAGAGAGCUCCGAGAUCCUCUUUCUAGAAGACAGAACCCCGAAUAAAUGGUUAUGGCUCCAGACAAUAUGCUUGAGUAAGAACAAAGACUGUGCUUCUGCGGAAAUGACCUCAAUGGCUUCGUAAGAAAUUAGUAGGUUAUGGGGACCAAAUUGUCAUCUAGGGUUUUUCAGUUGCACAAUCACAGUUCUCUGGUCAAGAAACUCUCCAGCCUCUGGGGGACGAAGGGAUCCACUUUGAAACCGACUAGUCCUUGGCGGGGGAAGAUGCUUCGCCAGCGUGAAAUGCCCAGAAAUAACGGGAUGUCACCAUCCCAGUGACCACCCAGGAGCCACUGUGCAUUUUACACACUGGAAGGGAGACUCGGCUGACGCCCAACAGGAAGGAAUCACGCUGCUGUCAAAGCUCUUUAAAAAGCUUUUAAGGAUGAAAUGCUCAAUUCGAAAGGAAGUAUCUAUGAUCUAUGUUCCUUAUUAAAAUAAUUUUUUUAUUCA